UAUCGUAGUGUUACUUUAAUAGCACCUCGGCUCAACGAACUUGCUCUCGAUUACAACAUGUGUUCACGAAGAUGGAUUUUUUCUUCACUCUUUGGAGAAAUAUUGUCUUAUAACAGUGAAUACGCAUCGUAGUUUUUGCCACGAAAGAGAAACGUAGAAGGAAAAAAGUGAGGUUAGAAAAACAAAAAUGGCUCUUGUGACUGGAAUAACUUCUGCCAACUGUCGCACCAUGACAAACGCGGAUGCCAACGUAAUAAUGAAAAAAAAUUAUAAGCGAGUUGAUCGUUACCAAUCGUUACACCGAGCGAGUGAAAGGGAGAGGGAAGGAUGAGGCAAACGACGAGUGUAUAAUAACGAUUAUUAUCCCGUCUGCUUACACUCGAGUCAACGAAAACCGUAGUUUAGUCUAACUGUUGGUUCUGCAUAUAACGUUCUCGGUACAGUACGUGGUACAACUAUUUGAGUAAAUAACGAAGAGAAUAUAAGAGCUCAAGGGAGGAGUUGGAGAAGCUAUGAAAAUAUACAGGAUGUCUCGAAAGUCCUUUGAAAGGGCUUGAUUUAAUCAACCGAUCGCAGAAUUAAAAAAGAAGCGUUGAAAAGGUUUCUCCGCAAAGUUUGCGAAUUCGAAUAAAUUCGGUUAGCAACAUCGAGGUUUUUGGAACGAGCUGUAUUACGCUCUUCUCUGUAACGUAACGUAACUCUCGGUAUCGCGAGUCGUUCGGAAACGUGACACAGGCGUGUCACUCCGACGCGACGAGUAGCCUCCCUGGCGAAAAAGUCGCGAACCAGCCCACGCUUGCAUGUCGAAUUCUCGUCGUUACGACUUUUUAUCGCUAAGGUCACGAAAUAUCCGUAUACGAAAAUACAAUACGCUGUAACGAAAAUCGAGGGGGAGGAAGAACGAGGAAAAGACGGAGACGAGAAGGAGAAAGAGAGAAAGAGCAAGGAGAGAGGGUAAACGUGAAAAGGUAGAUAUAUAAUGGCUCGCAUACCAAAGUCGUCCGCUCGCUUACCCCCUUGAAUACAAAUUCUGAUGCUGUCGCCAUGCCCGGAACCACGCUUAUUUUUCUUCGUCAUUACAUACACGGGCAUGAAUUUUUAUAAAUAAUUUGUAUCAAUUUUAUUGAGAUCUCAAUCGACGAAUUCGUGUUAUCCAUUGACAAUUGUAACGAUAUUAAAAAAUUGAAUAAAAAAUAAUGACAAUAAUACUCAA